rnacentral:hammerhead_ribozyme from 1 species
AUCCUGCUGACGAGUCCCAGUUAGGACGAAAUGCACAUCCUGGAU